UACGUAGGGUGCAAGCGUUGUCCGGAAUUACUGGGCGUAACGCGUGCGCAGGCGGUUGUGCAAGACAGAUGUGAAAUCCCCGGGCUUAACCUGGGAACUGCAUUUGUGACUGCACAGCUGGAGUGCGGCAGAGGGGGAUGGAAUUCCGCGUGUAGCAGUGAAAUGCGUAGAUAUGCGGAGGAACACCGAUGGCGAAGGCAAUCCCCUGGGCCUGCACUGACGCUCAUGCACGAAAGCGUGGGGAGCAAACAGG
rnacentral:rRNA from 1 species